rnacentral:rRNA from 1 species
CCAAUAGCGUAUAUUAAAGUUGUUGCAGUUAAAAAGCUCGUAGUUGAAUUUCGGGGUCAGCAGGUCGGUCGUGCCACUGGUAUGCACUGGCUUUGCUGAUUCCUCCCUCUUGUAGAACCGUAAUGCCAUUAAGUUGGUGUUGCGGGGAAACAGAACUGUUACUUUGAAAAAAUUAGAGUGUUUAAAGCAGGCUAACGCUUGAAUACAUUAGCAUGGAAUAAUGAAAUAGGACGAUCGAUCCUAUUUUGUUGGUUUCUAGGAUUGACGUAAUGAUUAAUAGGGAUAGUUGGGGGCAUUAGUAUUCAAUUGUCAGAGGUGAAAUUCUUGGAUUUAUUGAAGACUAACUACUGCGAAAGCAUUUGCCAAGGAUGUUUUCAUUAAUCAAGAACGAAAGUUAGGGGAUCGAAGACGAUCAGAUACCGUCGUAGUCUUAACCAUAAACUAUGCCGACUAGGGAUCGGAUGAUGUUAAUUUUUUAAUGACUCAUUCGGCGCCUUACG